ACUUAUCUUCAGGGCACCGUGAAAUUCGGGACCGGCGGUUAAAGUCCGCGAAGCUGAAAAGCUUGAUGUGGUGGAAUUCCACAACCGACAGUAAAGUCUGGAUGGGAGAAGAAUAAG
rfam:Lactococcus garvieae Lg2 DNA, complete genome.